rnacentral:rRNA from 1 species
UACGAAGGGGGCGAGCGUUAUUCGGAAUCACUGGGCGUAAAGCGUGCGUAGGCGGUUUUGUAAGUUGGAAGUGAAAGCCCAGGGCUCAACCCUGGAAUUGCUUUCAAAACUACAAGACUAGAAAUCGGGAGAGGAUAGCGGAAUUGUCAGUGUAGCAGUGAAAUGCGUAGAUAUUGACAGGAACACCAGUGGCGUAGGCGGCUAUCUGGACCGACUUUGACGCUGAGGCACGAAAGCGUGGGGAUCAAACAGG